CCCCCCUCAAGAUGAGAUUUCCCAUAGCGCAAGCUAGUAAGAACCCUGAAAGAUGAUCAGGUUGAUAGGUCAGAGGUGGAAGCGUGGUAACAUGUGGAGCUGACUGAUACUAAUCGUUCGAGGACUUAACCAA
rnacentral:rRNA from 1 species